UAGUCCACGCCGUAAACGAUGAGUGCUAGUUGUUGGCCCUUGAGGUCGGUGACGUAGCUAACGCGUUAAGCACUCCGCCUGGGGAGUACGGUCGCAAGAUUAAAACUCAAAGGAAUUGACGGGGACCCGCACAAGCGGUGGAGCAUGUGGUUUAAUUCGAGGCAACGCGAAGAACCUUACCAGUCCUUGACAUCCUAAUCGCGAAAAGCAGAGAUGCUUUUCUUCAGUUCGGCUGGAUUAGUGACAGGUGCUGCAUGGUUAUCGUCAGCUCGUGUCGUGAGAUGUUGGGUUAAGUCCCGCAACGAGCGCAACCCCCAUUUUUAUUUGCCAGCGAUUCGGUCGGGAACUAUAAGGAAACUGCCAGUGAUAAACUGGAGGAAGGUGGGGACGAUGUCAAGUCAUCAUGGCCCUUACGGGUUGGGCUACACGCGUGCUACAAUGGUAUCUACAAAGGGAAGCAAGACGGCGACGUGGAGCAAAUCCCAAAAAGNUAUCUCAGUUCGGAUUGCUCU
rnacentral:rRNA from 1 species